rnacentral:rRNA from 1 species
GACGAACGCUGGCGGCGUGCUUAACACAUGCAAGUCGAACGGAAAGGCCCUGCUUUUGUGGGGUGCUCGAGUGGCGAACGGGUGAGUAACACGUGAGUAACCUGCCCUUGACUUUGGGAUAACUUCAGGAAACUGGGGCUAAUACCGGAUAGGAGCUCCUGCUGCAUGGUGGGGGUUGGAAAGUUUCGGCGGUUGGGGAUGGACUCGCGGCUUAUCAGCUUGUUGGUGGGGUAGUGGCUUACCAAGGCUUUGACGGGUAGCCGGCCUGAGAGGGUGACCGGCCACAUUGGGACUGAGAUACGGCCCAGAAUCCUACGGGAGGCAGCAGUGGGGAAUAUUGCACAAUGGGCGGAAGCCUGAUGCAGCAACGCCGCGUGCGGGAUGACGGCCUUCGGGUUGUAAACCGCUUUCGACUGUGACGAAGAGUGAGUGACGGUAAUGGGUAAAGAAGCACCGGCUAACUACGUG